UAGGGUGCAAGCGUUGUCCGGAAUUAUUGGGCGUAAAGAGCUCGUAGGUGGUUAGUUACGUCGGAUGUGAAAAUCUAGGGCUCAACCCUAGACCUGCAUCCGAUACGGGCUAGCUUGAGUUUGGUAGGGGAGACUGGAAUUCCUGGUGUAGCGGUGGAAUGCGCAGAUAUCAGGAGGAACACCAAUGGCGAAGGCAGGUCUCUGGGCCAAUACUGACACUGAGGAGCGAAAGUGUGGGGAGCGAACAGGAUUAGAUACCCUGGUAGUCCACACAGUAAACGAUGGGCACUAGUUGUGGGAACCUUCCACGGUUUCUGCGACGCAGCUAACGCAUUAAGUGCCCCGCCUGGGGAGUACGAUCGCAAGAUUAAAACUCAAAGGAAUUGACGGGGCCCCGCACAAGCAGCGGAGCAUGCGGCUUAA
rnacentral:rRNA from 1 species